UACGAAGGGGGCUAGCGUUGCUCGGAAUCACUGGGCGUAAAGCGCACGUAGGCGGAUUGCUAAGUCAGGGGUGAAAUCCUGGAGCUCAACUCCAGAACUGCCUUUGAUACUGGCGACCUUGAGUCCGGGAGAGGUGAGUGGAACUGCGAGUGUAGAGGUGAAAUUCGUAGAUAUUCGGAAGAACACCAGUGGCGAAGGCGGCUCACUGGCCCGGUACUGACGCUGAGGUGCGAAAGCGUGGGGAGCAAACAGGAUAGAAACC
rnacentral:rRNA from 1 species